GCACCCGCGGUAAUUCCAGCUCCAAUAGUGUAUGUUAAUGCUGCUGCUGUUAAAAAGCUCGUAGUUGGAUCAAGAGUACAACCGUGAAGGUUGGCCCAGUUUGUCAUCGUGGCCUCGGUUGCGGUGGCGGCUCGGGAGUAACCGCCUUCACCAAGCGGUUGUCUCUAAUAGGUGGAAACGGCUCCCGGUGAGUAGGUCCCUUCAUUGGGAUUGAAAGCGCAUACGCGUUAACCAUACGCAUUCGGGACGUCCACCAUUGUUACUGUGAACAAACCAGCGUGUCCAAAGCAGGUUCCGCCUGCAUGUUCGAGCAUGGAAUAACAAGGGAUCGAUCCUCUCGGUUCUUUUUGUUGGUUUUUAACCCGAGAAGGAGUAAUUCAGGCCAGGGUGUCUGAGUCGGGUUUCCCUAGACUUCGGUUUAGGCCCCGAUUAGGCCCUGUCCUUACGGGAUCAAUAGGGACUGCCGGGGUCGUAAGUACAUCUACGUCAGAGGUGAAAUUCUUAGAUCGUAGAAAGACUAACUUGUGCGAAAGCAUUCGACAAGAAUGUCUUCAUUAAUCAAGAACGAGAGUGUGGGGAUCGAAGAUGAUCAGAUACCGUCGUAGUCCACUUCUGUAAACAAUGCCGUCUCAGGAUCGAGAGGUGAACCUAAUGACCCUCACGGCACUAACCCCUGAAACGAGAAAUCAAAGAUUAUGGGUUCAGGGGGGAAUACAUUCGCAAGGCUGAAACUUAAAGGAAUUGACGGAAUGACACCACCAGGCGUGGAGUAUGCGGCUUAAUUUGACUCAACACGGGGAAUUUUACUAGGUCAGGACAAUGUAAAGAUUGACAGAUUGAGAGCUCUUUCUCGAUCCAUUGUGUGGUGGUGCAUGGCCGCUCCUGGUUGGUGGAGUGAUUUGUCUGGUUGAUUCCGUUAACGAACGAGAUCUCGACCUCUAAAAAGGUGGCCGUGACGAUUUGUAGUCUCAUCUCUGCAGCCUAGCUGAUUUGAGUGGGACGAGUCAGCGGCAAUACUUCUUAGAGGGACUGUCUGCGUCUCUAGCAGGCGGAAGAGCGAGCCAAUAGCAGGUCUGUGAUGCUCCUAAAUGUCCUAGGCUGAACGCGCACUACACUGAUGCAUUAAACGAGUCUGAUUGGCUUUGCCAACCUAGCUAGAAGUAGCUGGGAAACCUUUUGAACUGCAUCGUGAUGAG
rnacentral:rRNA from 1 species